rnacentral:rRNA from 1 species
UACGUAGGGUGCGAGCGUUGUCCGGAAUUAUUGGGCGUAAAGAGCUCGUAGGCGGUCUGUCGCGUCUGCUGUGAAAACCCGAGGCUCAACCUCGGGCCUGCAGUGGGUACGGGCAGACUAGAGUGCGGUAGGGGAGAAUGGAACUCCUGGUGUAGCGGUGGAAUGCGCAGAUAUCAGGAGGAACACCCGUGGCGAAGGCGGCUCUCUGGGACGGUACUGACGCUGAGACGCGAAAGCGUGGGGAGCGAACAGG